rnacentral:rRNA from 1 species
AGAGUUUGAUCCUGGCUCAGAUUGAACGCUGGCGGCAGGCCUAACACAUGCAAGUCGAGCGGUAGAGAGAAGCUUGCUUCUCUUGAGAGCGGCGGACGGGUGAGUAAUACCUAGGAAUCUGCCUGAUAGUGGGGGAUAACGUUCGGAAACGGACGCUAAUACCGCAUACGUCCUACGGGAGAAAGCAGGGGACCUUCGGGCCUUGCGCUAUCAGAUGAGCCUAGGUCGGAUUAGCUAGUUGGUGAGGUAAUGGCUCACCAAGGCUACGAUCCGUAACUGGUCUGAGAGGAUGAUCAGUCACACUGGAACUGAGACACGGUCCAGACUCCUACGGGAGGCAGCAGUGGGGAAUAUUGGACAAUGGGCGAAAGCCUGAUCCAGCCAUGCCGCGUGUGUGAAGAAGGUCUUCUGAUUGUAAAGCACUUUAAGUUGGGAGGAAGGGCAUUAACCUAAUACGUUAGUGUUUUGACGUUACCGACAGAAUAAGCACCGGCUAACUCUGUGCCAGCAGCCGCGGUAAUACAGAGGGUGCAAGCGUUAAUCGGAAUUACUGGGCGUAAAGCGCGCGUAGGUGGUUUGUUAAGUUGAAUGUGAAAUCCCCGGGCUCAACCUGGGAACUGCAUCCAAAACUGGCAAGCUAGAGUAUGGUAGAGGGUAGUGGAAUUUCCUGUGUAGCGGUGAAAUGCGUAGAUAUAGGAAGGAACACCAGUGGCGAAGGCGACUACCUGGACUGAUACUGACACUGAGGUGCGAAAGCGUGGGGAGCAAACAGGAUUAGAUACCCUGGUAGUCCACACUGUAAACGAUGAUUACUAGGGGGGGGGGUCUGACCCCCUCCGUGCCGCAGUUAACGCAAUAAGUAAUCCAGUUGGGGAGUGCGGCCGCAAGGUUGAAACUCAAAGGAAUUGUCGGGGGCCCGCACAAGCAGUGGAUUAUGUGGUUUAAUUCGACGCUACGCGAAGAACCUUUCCAGGUCUUGACAUCCAACUAACGAGAUAGAGAUAUGUCAGGUGCCCUUCGGGGAAAGUUGAGACAGGUGGUGCAUGGUUGUCGUCAGCUCGUGUCGUGAGAUGUUGGGUUAAGUCCCGCAACGAGCGCACCCCCUGCCAUUAGUUGCUAGGCAAGGGCACUCUAAUGGGACCGCUGCCGACAAGGUGGAGGAAGGUGGGGACGACGUCAAAUCAUCAUGCCCCUUAUGACCUGGGCUACACACGUAAUACAAUGGCCGUUAACAAAAGGAUGCGAAGGCGUGAGCCGGAGCCAACCCCCAAAAGCGGUCUCAGUUCGGAUCGCAGGCUGCAACCCGCCUGCGUGAAGUCGGAAUUGCUAGUAAUCGCGGAUCAGCAUGCCGCGGUGAAUACGUUCCCGGGCCUUGCACACACCGCCCGUCA